rnacentral:lncRNA from 1 species
UGGCUUCCAACUUAAUCUCUCAUGUUCUCCAACUGACUUGACUGAUUAACUGUUUCCAUUGUGCUUGAAGUUGGUGGAUUGUUGCUUUAUGUAAGUUUGGUUCUAUACAUUCUUGUAGCAGGAGGUGUGUUAUUUCUGCUUGAUCCAUCUUGAUAUAUGACUUCGCCUGGAGUUGGCAUCUGCAUUUGACAUAACCAAGCACAAGUAUGGUUACAUAUGAAAAAUGACAAAUAAAAGUAAAUGAAAUACUUGCAAUUUAAAAAAGCUUUAACUCACAAAAACUAAGCCAGAGUUGUGUCCAUUCAUAUUAUCUAUAACAGCUCCCUCAGGACUAACAUAAACACCAUAUCCUGCUGGUACUUUAGCGCGGGUCUUUAUCCUCUUAAC